UAUAAUCAGACAAAAAACCACAUAUACAAACACAAAGCCAGACAGAAGCAUGAAUUGAAUUAAUGAAUGGACUGUGUACAGAGCAGAGAUGAAACUGAUACAUGUGAGACUCACCACACAUUGGCAUUAAUACAUAGGUUAAUAUUAAUGCAAGAAAUAACCAUGACAGUGUGGUGGACAGAUUUACAUGGAGAGAGGAAGAAGAGGAGUUUCCGGCGGAAGUAGAAUGACUCCUCUUCUCUCUCAGAGCUGUUAGUUUGUUGUGCAUGCUGAAGUGAGUCUGUGGCUGCUGCAGCUGAAGAUCAGAGGCUGAAGAAAAGACUCUUGUCGGUGAAUCAUGUGUAAAAUGCAGGUGGUGAGGACGCUGGUCGCAGAGAGACUGGCUGCAGCUGCGGAGGAGAUAUUUACUGUUGUGGAGAGGAAGAUGCUGCACACGUCAGAAAUGUUACCUGAGCAGUUGAGGACAGUUGUACAGAAGCGACUGUCAGCUGUUGCUGAUGAGAUCUGUAGGAUCCUGGAGAUAAUGUUAGGUGAACAUGAAGCAGAGGACAUCGAGCAGCAAUGCCAGCUGCUGGACAUCACGACAGGGCCACAGUGCUGAAUCCUGGGAGCUGAUCAGGAAGAAAAUCAAAACCCAUCUAAUGAGAGCUCACCAGCUGGUUUCAUCUCUGCUCACCACCAACUAACCUGUCAGACCAAGAAUCUCCUCAUUCAUUUGCUAAGUGAUUGAGCUAUUUAUUUAUUUAUUGCUUAGUUAUGUACUGCCUUGUUUGUUUACUCAUGUAUUUAUUUUUUGGAGUUAACUAAAACAGAUUUAUUUAUUUAUUGAGGUAUUUAUUUAUUCAUUAAUAUAUUUUUUAUUGAGUUGUUUUUCUAUUUAUCAGUUGAUCUGUUGAAUGUUUAUUUUUUAAGUUGAUCAAUGUGCUUAUUUAUUUUUUUUAAUGUGUGCUGAGAAAAUUUGAUUUUUUUUCAUGCUAUAACCAAUAAAAUCUGUUCUUCUACCAGCAAAUAUAAAAAUGUUUUUUGUUUUUAUUCCUGUUGCAUCAACAAAAAGCAUGCAAUAUUUUAUGUAUUUUUUAAACUUAUUUUUUUUAAUCUAUUUUUACAGUUGCUAACAUGCAUUUCUCAAUACUGAGUUCACUUCUUCAAAACUCAUCACACAGUAUGCACAUGCAAGUUCCUCUGCUGCCUCAAAACAACAUUCUGUAACUAUUUCUUCCACACAUAGGCUGUAAAUUCAACUGUAUUUUACUGACAAACAGUAACAUUAACAUAUAGAAAUAACAGAAAAAUGAGAAUUGAUUAUCAAUAAAUAUUUACAGCUAUACAGUAUGCUACUGCCAUCUACUGGCAUUCGGACGUUACUACAAACUACAGAUGGCUGCCAUUAUGUUAGUGUAAAAUGAACGGUAUCUCGGUGUUGCUGAAAUUUACAGUUGCUACUGUUUUUGUAAAAACAGCAAAAAUCUGUUAUGUUGGUGUUUGUGUGUGGAGGGAGGGAGGGAGAGAGGGGAGACCCCCCCCCCCCCUUCAACGGACCGACUGUCAGACAGUCAGUCCGCGGGUCCACUUCCUCACCACAGGGACUCUAGGCACCUGCGCCUCUAGGUCUGGUGCUCAGAUCGCAUCUGAAGAUCAGAUGCGCAGAGGCCGAGUCGAGACCACGGGAAAUACAUUAGAUGGAUGUAUACGUCAUGGUCUGAUGCAUGGAUGGAUGCAUCCGACUCAGGUCCAGGGCUGCCGUGGCCUGCAGCCGGGACCCUGGCGUCUGACCACCAGUCACCCCGAGUCUCCUCCGGUGAAGGAGAGUGUACGAAGUAAACGCAGUGAAGAGGCUC